rnacentral:misc_RNA from 1 species
AUCGAUGGUACACCACUGUACACUCGUCUUGCAGCUCUCGCUCUUCACAACACGAAGAGUUCGGUGCUCGAAAUUCUCUACUGCAGGAAAAAGCUCCUCUCUCUUUCUCCACGGAAUUGCGCCAUUCAUUCUCUCCUUAUGAAAAAUAUAAACCGAUGUCUCACUCUCAGGUAACUUAUUCGUUGCACGAGAUCAAAAUCUCUAUACAAUCUCUCUUUUUUAUUCCUUUCUGACUCUCUCGUGUGGCAUGGAAGAUUGGUUAUCUGGUUCCACUAAAUCUCUGUUUAGAGGAGGAAACUUCGAUUCCUAAGCUACCUCUCUCCAAAGGCUCUAACACCAUCGGCCGCAGCCACGUUUCUGUCGCCGAUAAGAGACUCAGCCGCAACCACCUUGCUCUCACCGCUUCUGCCGAUGGCUCUGCUAAUAUAACUGUCGUAAUUUCACUAAUUUGCUUUUAUUUUUCUCGGACCUUUACUUCAUUACUGUGUUCUAAGAAUGGGGAAAAAAAAUUCGUAGGUGGGUACCAAUCCGGUUGUGGUAAAAUCUGGGGAUCAGAGAAGGAAGCUUAGUCCUGGAGAACAGGUAUCGAUUACUAGCGGUGAUAUUAUAGAGUUGAUACCUGGCCGCCAUUUCUUCAAGUACGUGGCUUCGUCGCCUUCGAAUAGUAGCAGCAACUCUUCUUCUCUUAACACGUCGAAGAGGCAUUGCAAUGACGGUGAAGGAAUUGUCAAAUGCGACCAACCUUGCUUAAAGAAGAUGCGAGAAGCACCUGAAG